UACGUAGGGUGCGAGCGUUAAUCGGAAUUAUUGGGCGUAAAGAGCUCGUAGGCGGUUUGUCGCGUCUGCCUGUGAAAGACCGGGGCUCAACUCCGGUUCUGCAGUGGGUACGGGCAGACUAGAGUGCAGUAGGGGGAGACUGGAAUUCCUGGUGUAGCGGUGAAAUGCGCAGAUAUCAGGAGGAACACCGGGUGGCGAAGGCGGUUCUCUGGGAAUGUC
rnacentral:rRNA from 1 species